rnacentral:rRNA from 1 species
AUACGGAGGGUGCAAGCGUUACUCGGAAUCACAGGGCGUAAAGCGCGCGCAGGCGGCUUGGUAAGUUGGAUGUGAAAGCCUACGGCUCAACCGUAGAACUGCAUCCAAAACUGUCAAGCUAGAGUGUGGGAGAGGAAGAUGGAAUUAGUUGUGUAGGGGUAAAAUCCGUAGAGAUAACUAGGAAUACCAAAAGCGAAGGCAAUCUUCUGGAACACUACUGACGCUGAGGCGCGAAAGCGUGGGGAGCAAACAGGAUUAGAAACCCUAGUAGUCC